GCGCGCGUAGUUCAACUGGAUAGAAUAUCGGAUUUCGGCUCCGAGGGUUGAGGGUUCGAAUCCUUCCGCGCGUACCA
rnacentral:tRNA from 1 species